UGUCAAUUUUGUUACAAUAACACACAUAUAUGUACUUUUAUGUUCCUUAUUAUUGUCCAUAUUUCUUGCGCAUCUGUCUCUCUUCUCCAUUAUUUCGAGAGCAUCGAUAUUCAAUAAUUCUACAAGACGUAUAUGAGUGCGUCCUUUUCAACAAUCGACAAUCAAUUUUGUGUUCUGGACUGAAUCCUGUACUGUCGUAAAACUCAUUCUUUAUCAGCAGAAAAUACGUAAUGUGUCAAACGAGUUUUAGAUGAGCUCUACUUAUGUGACAAACACAAGUACUUCCCAAGUAUUGAUAUGAAGCGAAACGUAAUGCAGUGUAAGUGUGAUUCCAAAGGUGGAUGCGUAUAAAAUACAUUGAGUUGAGUAACAUUAAUUGGACGAGUGCAUAUCAGAAGUUCACAAUCAAUCAUGUCAGUUGAUCGUAACCGCGUGACUGAGCGAAAACCGACAAUCGCUAAAUCCGUUUGUAUUCUUGUGUGAAGUUUUUUCGACUUUUUGCGCGUACAUUGUGCCAAAUGGAAAAUCUGUGCGUGACAGAUCGUUCGAUUUCGCGAAUGCGUACCAUAAAAGAUUAAACGCGAUCUUUGGCUAUGGGCUGAAGUUUCUAAAAUCCUUCCCAAUGCUGGUGUCGCGUAUUUUCGACCGCCUUUUGUGAAUAAGAAUAAUUUAACAAGCUCGAAAUACACUGGCAUACAGUUAAUUGAUAAAAACGCAAUGUCGUAAUGACGAAAUUCAGAUAAGUGUAACAUAUCUUAAAUGGACUGCUCUAAUUAAUUUUAUAAUGUAUCGUUCAUUGCGCGCAAAUAACAAUUGAUUAGAGGAGUUUCUUAUAAUUGGUUUCGAACAACCACCUCAGCAGCAUUUUGCGCGGCAUGAUGACAUCGGUUCGAUAUAUACGAAAGCUACGACUGACCGAGAAAUAUAAAGAAAUACAGUGUGAAAUCGCUAGUAAUAUAAUUUUCUACAUCAGCACACGGAGAUAAAAGAAAUACAAUCGAUAAUAGCAGAAUAAGUACAAUAAUAUUGUAGAUUCUAAAAGCCAUGAAAGAAGAAGAAAGCGACUUAACGAUGAGAAAAGUCAAGCAAACGGUGAGCACCACUCACGGUAAAUUGCACUACAAGCAGGAAAGCGCAAAAAGGUGCGUGAAUAUAUCUAGUUUAGUUGCGGUUUCUCGUCUUAGAGCUUCCCGAGUGUGCGGCUAGCGCAAAACAAAUUAAGAGCAACGAGCGGGCUUGUCCGACGAUGACGGCGACGACGAUGAUGCUCCGCAUGCUCAGUUUUCCUCGUUACACAUGGUUACUGUGAACCGAGAAUAGCCGAAAGUAGAAGCGCAUGAAUGUCGCAAAAACGGGAAAAUAAGAUGGACUCGUGAAAACUCGUGCGCGACUAUGGAGUGUCAGCUUUGAGCUUCUCGUGCGACGAGAAUAACGCACGGGUGGAAUGCCGUGUGCAUGAGCACCGUUUUACGAUAUUCCACGCAAUUUAACGGAGAUGUUGACAAGUAUUGAAGCUCUCGUGGUUAAUGCACUAAUAAAUGGAGCUGAUCCCUAUAAGAUGCAAUAAUGCGGGAUUUCACGGCGGAUUGAACAUCCCACGCAAGCAUAAAUCAAGAAUAUCGAGCGGGUACGACAGAGUUUUUGAUACGCCAAGUAAACGCGAGCGUUCAAGAGCAAACAUUUUCUAUUAACCAUUUCUCGGGACAAAGAGGGUUGACGGCAGUUGGCUCUUCGGGCGAUGUUUUGCUAUUUAAGGACAGCGGCGUAGACGGAAAGCUGCAGGUAGAUUUAAUUAUGUGGCCAAGAGGACAGAGAGAAAGAGUAACACGGAAGAUGAUGCAGCAUCAAAGGAAACGUUGGGACAAAGGGUAACGUGUUAAUAAUCGUUUUAUUAGUCUACACGGCUAGUACGAGAUGCUGUACAAUAAUGGAGUCUGCACAAGAAUCGACGUCGAGAGUAAGAAUUUAGGAGCUGGAGUGUUCGCCGAAAAGCGGGAGAUUGUAAGAAUAUUUAAAAAUAUGAUUCGCUAAUAAUCAAUGCGCUAAUAGUGCGCGUGAAUUGUGUCGAUAUAAUAUAAAACAGAUAUACAGAAGCUAGAUGCUUUUAGGGGAAGAAAAGAUAUAAGGACUCUUCUGAAGGCAAUGAUGGAUGAUUCUUGUGUGUGAUUUCCAUGCUCCUAAUUUUUUCAGAUAAUAAAAUGCGACAGGGAGUUUCAUCAUGGAAUUAUUAUUAUUAUCGAAGAGACAAGUUUAUAUGUAAAGGCGACCUAAGAAUGAUGGUUAUCGUGACUUGAAUAUGAAUCGCCAAUUUAACGUCGCACUGUGGUAGAUACAUCACGAUGGAAUUUUGAUAGCUGCUUGUUAUUCAGUUGAUUUAUUGCGUGAUUUUCAUCGUGCGAGUUUGCAUCUUUAGAUAUGAGAGACAAUUCCCCGAUAAUAAAUGUUUCAUUACACAAGAUAGAAGAAAUCGAAAAAGAGAGGAAAAUAAACAUUUUUAAUGUUGCAGUUAUGUAUUAAAGAAUCUUGGAAUAUUUAAGAGAGUAACAAAAAAAAUGUACAUGCUUUCUUAUUUAUAUUAUUU